rnacentral:pre_miRNA from 1 species
UCGGGGUAAAAUAGUGAGAAGCCGACAUGGGGAAGUGAUCGACCCUUUGGAUAAGUUUAAAUUUGUUUUUUUUUACUCCAUAAAUUUUUUACCGUGGGUAAAAAGAUUCUUCUUGGGGUAUAAAAAAAAAUCAAAUUUAAAUUUAACCCAAGGGUUGAUGAUGUAUUUUUCCAUUAAGGCUACUCACUAUUUUACCCCAU